rnacentral:rRNA from 1 species
AAGGGCACCACAAGAACGCGUGGAGCAUGUGGCUUAAUUUGACUCAACGCGGGAAAUCUUACCGGGUCCGGACACACUGAGGAUUGACAGGCGAUUGUAGUUGGAUUUAUUCAACUACUGCAAAUAUGCUAGUCCUUUCAUGAUUGUGUGAUAGGUGGUGCAUGGCCGUUCUUAGUUCGUGGAGUGAUCUGUCUGCUUAAUUGCGUUUCGCAAAGGACAUUUGGCAACAAGUUGUGUUUCGAGAUGCCUCCUUCUCAUUCGUGAGAGUUGUGCGCUCGUUUCACACAGCCUCGUCGUCCUGAAGGCAACGAACGUGACCGCAGCCUCUUGUUGCCUGCCAAUUACAAGGACAUUAGUUAGUUUGAGCUUCGGCGAGGAUCGACUUUUGUUCUUAGUGCAGGAUUAACUAGAGGGACCGCUGACAUAUUUUUUUAACCAGAGGAAGGUUGCGGCAAUAACAGGUCUGUGAUGCCCUUAGAUGUUCCGGGCUGCACACGUGCUACAAUGAUCAUUGCAGUGAGCAUCUUAAACAGUUCGUGGGGCAUUUUUACUUGCCCUGACUAUUUCAGACUGUUACUUGGUGUGGGUUGUUGAUUGCUUGGAUUGGCUUCGGCUGGUUCGGGUGUGUUGAUAGUUCAUGCCUUGUGGUGGUUUGUGUGUCUAGGUAUGGUAGAAUGUCCACUAUCGCGACAUGCCCAACUCGAAAGCAGUUGGGGAAUCAAUUCGAAGUAAUGAUUUCCACCCGCACAUCUCAAGGUACAAUUGUCUUUCGGGACUUUUGUACUGUGCUCCAUAAUUUCAUGGGGGGGGACAGACCCUUGUUAAUUUGCAGUCUCGGUCUCAACUAGGAAUGCCUUGUACGGGUCU